rnacentral:rRNA from 1 species
GGACAGAAAGGGAGCUUGCUCCCGGAUGUUAGCGGCGGACGGGUGUAGUAACACGUGGGUAACCUGCCUGUAAGACUGGGAUAACUCCGGGAAACCGGAGCUAAUACCGGAUAGUUCCUUGAACCGCAUGGUUCAAGGAUGAAAGACGGUUUCGGCUGUCACUUACAGAUGGACCCGCGGCGCAUUAGCUAGUUGGUGGGGUAAUGGCUCACCAAGGCGACGAUGCGUAGCCGACCUGAGAGGGUGAUCGGCCACACUGGGACUGAGACACGGCCCAGACUCCUACGGGAGGCAGCAGUAGGGAAUCUUCCGCAAUGGACGAAAGUCUGACGGAGCAACGCCGCGUGAGUGAUGAAGGUUUUCGGAUCGUAAAGCUCUGUUGUUAGGGAAGAACAAGUGCGAGAGUAACUGCUCGCACCUUGACGGUACCUG